AUAAUCAGCUCAAGGGCAGGCUUCAUUGCCGUUGUCUGCUCUUGGUUUUGAUGGAAGAGCGGAGGUACCGUUCUCAAUCGAAUUCGAUUGGCAAAGGUUCGGCCAUUGCAAUCAGCGUAGUAAUAUUAUUUCUCGCUGUGUUAUGGAGUCCUUUCUCUGCCAUUCGAACGUUGAAGGUUUCAUACGAAGCCUUAUUU
rnacentral:misc_RNA from 1 species